UGGGGAAUAUUGGACAAUGGGCGAAAGCCUGAUCCAGCCAUGCCGCGUGUGUGAAGAAGGUCUUCGGAUUGUAAAGCACUUUAAGUUGGGAGGAAGGGCAGUAAGCGAAUACCUUGCUGUUUUGACGUUACCCACAGAAUAAGCACCGGCUAACUCUGUGCCAGCAGCCGCGGUAAUACAGAGGGUGCAAGCGUUAAUCGGAAUUACUGGGCGUAAAGCGCGCGUAGGUGGUUCGUUAAGUUGAAUGUGAAAGCCCCGGGCUCAACCUGGGAACUGCAUCCAAAACUGGCGAGCUAGAGUAGGGCAGAGGGUGGUGGAAUUUCCUGUGUAGCGGUGAAAUGCGUAGAUAUAGGAAGGAACACCAGUGGCGAAGGCGACCACCUGGGCUCAUACUGACACUGAGGUGCGAAAGCGUGGGGAGCAAACAGG
rnacentral:rRNA from 1 species